CCUACGGGGGGCAGCAGUGAGGAAUAUUGGUCAAUGGGCUUACGCCUGAACCAGCCAAGUCGCGUGAGGGAAGACUGCCCUAUGGGUUGUAAACCUCUUUUGUCAGGGAGCAACGCCGGCUACGUGUAGCCGGACUGAGAGUACCUGAAGAAAAAGCAUCGGCUAACUCCGUGCCAGCAGCCGCGGUAAUACGGAGGAUGCGAGCGUUAUCCGGAUUUAUUGGGGUUAAAGGGUGCGUAGGCGGAAUGCCAAGUCAGCGGUAAAAGCGCGGGGCUCAACCUCGCUCCGCAGUUGAAACUGGCGUUCUUGAGUGGGCGAGAAGUAUGCGGAAUGCGUGGUGUAGCGGUGAAAUGCAUAGAUAUCACGCAGAACUCCGAUUGCGAAGGCAGCAUACCGGCGCCCAACUGACGCUGAAGCACGAAAGCGUGGGUAUCGAACAGGAUUAGAUACCCUUGUAGUC
rnacentral:rRNA from 1 species